rnacentral:tRNA from 1 species
CCGUUCUUAGCUCAGUUGGAAGAGCAUCUGACUGUAGAUAAGAUGGUCGCUAGUUCGAAUCUGGCAGAACGGA